rnacentral:rRNA from 1 species
UAUCUCUGUAGAGUCUGCAUAUCAAUAAGCGGAGGAAAAGAAACUAACUAGGAUUCCCUCAGUAACGGCGAGUGAAGCGGGAAGAGCUCAAAUUUGAAAUCUUCAAGGUUUUACCUUGACGAAUUGUAGUUUAAAGAAGUGUUUUCUGUUGGAGUUUUGGUAAAAGUUCUUUGGAAUAGGACAUCAUAGAGGGUGAGAAUCCCGUAUUUGACCAUUACUUUCCAGCUUUGUGAUACACUUUCAAAGAGUCGGAUUGUUUGGGAAUGCAGUCCAAAAUGGGUGGUAAAUUUCAUCUAAAGCUAAAUAUUGGCGAGAGACCGAUAGCGAACAAGUACCGUGAGGGAAAGAUGAAAAGAACUUUGGAAAGAGAGUUAAACAGUACGUGAAAUUGUCAAAAGUGAAGCGUUUGACACCAGUGUUGUUUUCUCGAAAAUCAAUUUAAUGGGUUCUUGUUUUUAAGUUAUUGUGACUUUAUCAGCGCAUUUCUUAUUUUACUUGGCUCAUUGAAUGCACUUUUCGUUUAACAAGUCAACAUCAAUUUCUUUGGUGGUAAAAAGUUUAAAGGAAGGUGGCUUGGACUUCGGUUCAAGUGUUUAUAGCCUUUUUUCUAUGCCAUCGGAGAGAUUGAGGUCUGCAGCGUAGAUCCUUCGGGGUUAGAUACUUUAGUGCUAAGUUAUAGUUUUUUAUAGACAACUUGUUGACUAUAAUUAACCCUGUAAUUUACUCGCUAGAGCUAUUUUACCUACGCUUAGGAUGUUGAGUCAUCACACAUCUCU